rnacentral:rRNA from 1 species
CCUACGGGAGGCAGCAGUGGGGAAUCUUGCGCAAUGGGCGAAAGCCUGACGCAGCAACGCCGCGUGCGGGAAGAAGGCCUUCGGGUUGUAAACCGCUUUCAGCAGGAACGAAAAUGACGGUACCUGCAGAAGAAGGAGCGGCCAACUACGUGCCAGCAGCCGCGGUGACACGUAGGCUCCAAGCGUUGUCCGGAUUUAUUGGGCGUAAAGAGCUCGUAGGCGGUUCAGUAAGUCGGGUGUGAAAACUCUGGGCUCAACCCAGAGCCUGCAUUCGAAACUGCUGUGACUAGAGUUUGGUAGGGGAGCGGGGAAUUCCUAGUGUAGCGGUGAAAUGCGCAGAUAUUAGGAGGAACACCGGUGGCGAAAGCGCCGCUCUGGGCCAAUACUGACGCUGAGGAGCGAAAGCGUGGGUAGCAAACAGGAUUAGAUACCCUGGUAGUCCACGCCGUAAACGAUGGGCACUAGGUGUGGGUUUCAACUAACGAAAUCCGUGCCGUCGCUAACGCAUUAAGUGCCCCGCCUGGGGAGGUACGGUCGCGAGACGUAAACUUAAAUAGAGUAGACGGCGUGAGAGUUGCGAGACGACACGAGGGAGGAGG